rnacentral:rRNA from 1 species
CAGUAGCCGCGGGAAUACGGAGGGAGCUAGCGUUGUUCGGAGUUACUGGGCGUAAAGCGCGCGUAGGCGGUUACUCAAGUCAGAGGUGAAAUCCCAGAGCUCAACUCUGGAACUGCCUUUGAUACUGGGUAUCUUGAGUAUGGAAGAGGUGAGUGGAAUUCCGAGUGUAGAGGUGAAAUUCGUAGAUAUUCGGAGGAACACCAGUGGCGAAGGCGGCUCACUGGACCAUUACUGACGCUGAGGCGCGAAAGCUAGGGGAGCAAACAGGAUUAGAGACCCCCGUAGUCCCUGUCUCUUAUAC